rnacentral:rRNA from 1 species
UACAGAGGGUGCAAGCGUUGUUCGGAAUUACUGGGCGUAAAGGGCGUGUAGGCGGUUCAAUAAGCCAGAUGUUAAAGACCCGGGCUUAACCCGGGGGCUGCGUUUGAAACUGUUUGACUAGGGAGCAGGAGGGGAGAAUGGAAUUUCCGGUGUAGAGGUAAAAUUCAUAGAUAUCGGAAGGAACACCAGAGGCGAAGGCGAUUCUCUGGACUGCCACUGACGCUGAGGCGCGAAAGCGUGGGGAGCAAAC